AAUAGAUACCCUGGUAGUCCACGCCGUAAACGAUGAGUGCUAAGUGUUAGAGGGUUUCCGCCCUUUAGUGCUGCAGCAAACGCAUUAAGCACUCCGCCUGGGGAGUACGGUCGCAAGACUGAAACUCAAAGGAAUUGACGGGGGCCCGCACAAGCGGUGGAGCAUGUGGUUUAAUUCGAAGCAACGCGAAGAACCUUACCAGGUCUUGACAUCCUUAUGCCUUCUCUAGAGAUAGAGCUUUCCCUUCGGGGACAUAAGUGACAGGUGGUGCAUGGUUGUCGUCAGCUCGUGUCGUGAGAUGUUGGGUUAAGUCCCGCAACGAGCGCAACCCUUGAUCUUAGUUGCCAGCAUUCAGUUGGGCACUCUAAGGUGACUGCCGGUGACAAACCGGGAGGAAGGUGGGGAUGACGUCAAAUCAUCAUGCCCCUUAUGACCUGGGCUACACACGUGCUACAAUGGAUGGUACAAAGGGCAGCGAAACCGCGAGGUUAAGCCAAUCCCAUAAAACCAUUCUCAGUUCGGAUUGCAGG
rnacentral:rRNA from 1 species